rnacentral:rRNA from 1 species
CCAGCAGCGACUGAGGACGACAUUAACGAGUAACUGAACAGGUUGUAGCUGGCCUCUCGGGGCAUGUGCACACCUGGCUCAUCCACUCUUCAACCUCUGUGCACUUGUUGUAGGUCGGCAGAAGGGCGAGUCUAACAGCUCGCUCGGAAGCCUUCCUAUGUUUUACUACAAACGCUUCAGUUUAAGAAUGUAAACCUGCGUAUAACGCAUCUAUAUACAACUUUCAGCAACGGAUCUCUUGGCUCUCGCAUCGAUGAAGAACGCAGCGAAAUGCGAUAAGUAAUGUGAAUUGCAGAAUUCAGUGAAUCAUCGAAUCUUUGAACGCACCUUGCGCUCCCUGGUAUUCCGGGGAGCAUGCCUGUUUGAGUGUCAUGGUAUUCUCAUCCUUCAUAACUUUUGUUAUCGAAGGCAUGGACUUGGAGGUCGUGCUGGUUCCUCGUUGAAUCAGCUCCUCUUAAAUGUAUUAGCGUGAGUGUAACGGAUCGCUUCGGUGUGAUAAUUAUCUGCGCCGUGGUCGUGAAGUAACAUAAGCUUGCGCUUCUAACCGUCCUUAAGCUGGACAACUUACUUUGACAUCUGACCUCAAAUCAGGUAGGACUACCCGCUGAACUUAAGCAUAUCAA